rnacentral:rRNA from 1 species
UACGGGGGGAGCAAGCGUUGUUCGGAUUUACUGGGCGUAAAGGGCGCGUAGGCGGUCAGCACAAGUCAGUUGUGAAAUCUCCGGGCUUAACUCGGAAAGGUCAACUGAUACUGUGCGACUAGAGUGCAGAAGGGGCAACUGGAAUUCUCGGUGUAGCGGUGAAAUGCGUAGAUAUCGUUUGGAACGCCAACGGUGAAAACAGACAGCUGGGAGUGAUGCUGACGCUGAGACACGAAAGCCAGGGGAGCGAACGGG